rnacentral:rRNA from 1 species
UACGUAAGGGGCUAGCGUUAUCCGGAAUCAUUGGGUUUAAAGGGUCCGCAGGCGGCCUGUUAAGUCAGAGGUGAAAGCCAACAGCUCAACUGUUGAACUGCCUUUGAUACUGAUAGGCUUGAGUUAUUGUGAAGUGGUUAGAAUGUGUGGUGUAGCGGUGAAAUGCUUAGAUAUCACACAGAAUACCCAUUGCGAAGGCAGAUCACUAACAAUAUACUGACGCUGAGGGACGAAAGCGUGGGGAGCGAACGGG